CGCAUCUGUGCAUGCAGUAUAUCAAUAAGCGGAGGAAAAGAAACUAACAAGGAUUCCCCUAGUAACGGCGAGUGAAGCGGGAAGAGCUCAAAUUUGAAAUCUUAAAGGGUUUCCCUUUACGAAUUGUAGUUUAAAGAAGUGUUUUCUGUUGAGGUUUUGGUAAAAGUUCUUUGGAAUAGGACAUCAUAGAGGGUGAGAAUCCCGUAUUUGACCUUUACUUUCAACUUUGUGAUACACUUUCAAAGAGUCGGAUUGUUUGGGAAUGCAGUCCAAAAUGGGUGGUAAAUUUCAUCUAAAGCUAAAUAUUGGCGAGAGACCGAUAGCGAACAAGUACCGUGAGGGAAAGAUGAAAAGAACUUUGAAAAGAGAGUUAAACAGUACGUGAAAUUGUCAAAAGGGAAGCGUUUGACACCAGUGUUGUUUUUCUGAAAAUCAAUUAAAGAACUGUUUAUGCUAAGUUGUUUAGACUUUAUCAGCUAACUGUUUAGUCUUGAGCUUUUCUUUAAUGCACUUUUCAGUUAACAAGUCAACAUCAACUUUCUUUUGCUGUAAAAAAGCUUGAGGAAGGUGGCUUGAGAUUCGUCUUAAGUGUUUAUAGCCUCUUGCCUAUGCAGUCGGAGAGAUUGAGGUCUGCAGCGUAGAUCCUUCGGGGCUAAAUGCAUUUGUGCUAAGUUAUAGCAUUUUAUAGACAACUUGUUGACUAUGAUUUGUCUUGUAGCUUACUCGCUUAUGUUAUUUUACCUACGCUUAGGAUGUUGAACGCGCACAGAGUCUC
rnacentral:rRNA from 1 species